rnacentral:rRNA from 1 species
GCUAGUUGGUAAGGGCAACGGGCUUACCAAGGCAAUGAUGCAUAGCCGAGUUUGAGAGACUGAUCGGCCACAUUGGGACUGAGACACGGGCCCAAACUCCUACGGGAGGCAGCAGUAGGGGAAUCUUCCACAAUGGACACAAGUCUGAUGGAGCAAACGCCGCGUGAGUGAAGAAGGGUUUCGGCUCGUAAAGCUCUGUUGGUAGUGAAGAAAGAUAGAGGUAGUAACUGGCCUUUAUUUGACGGUAAUUACUUAGAAAAGUCACGGGCUAACUACGUGCCAGCAGCCGCGGGUAAAUA